rnacentral:rRNA from 1 species
CCCUUAGAUGUUCUGGGCCGCACGCGCGCUACACUGACGAAGUCAGCGAGCAUGUCCUACGCCGACAGGUGCGGGGAAUCUUGUCAAACUUCGUCGUGAUGGGGAUUGAUUUUUGAAAUUCUUGAUCAUAAACGAGGAAUUCCUAGUAAGCGCAAGUCAGCAGCUUGCGUUGAUUGCGUCCCUGCCCUUUGUACACACCGCCCGUCGCUACUACCGAUUGAAUGGUUUAGUGAGAUCUUCGGAUUGGCGCCACUGCAGCUCAGCAAUGGGCUUGGUGGAUGCCGAAAAGUUGAUCAAACUUGAUCAUUUAGAGGAAGUAAAAGUCGUAACA